rnacentral:rRNA from 1 species
GGGUUGUGAGGUUAAGCGACUAAGCGUACACGGUGGAUGCCCUGGCAGUCAGAGGCGAUGAAGGACGUGCUAAUCUGCGAUAAGCGUCGGUAAGGUGAUAUGAACCGUUAUAACCGGCGAUUUCCGAAUGGGGAAACCCAGUGUGAUUCGUCACACUAUCAUUAACUGAAUCCAUAGGUUAAUGAGGCGAACCGGGGGAACUGAAACAUCUAAGUACCCCGAGGAAAAGAAAUCAACCGAGAUUCCCCCAGUAGCGGCGAGCGAACGGGGAGGAGCCCAGAGCCUGAAUCAGUGUGUGUGUUAGUGGAAGCGUCUGGAAAGGCGCGCGAUACAGGGUGACAGCCCCGUACACAAAAAUGCACAUGCUGUGAGCUCGAUGAGUAGGGCGGGACACGUGGUAUCCUGUCUGAAUAUGGGGGGACCAUCCUCCAAGGCUAAAUACUCCUGACUGACCGAUAGUGAACCAGUACCGUGAGGGAAAGGCGAAAAGAACCCCGGCGAGGGGAGUGAAAAAGAACCUGAAACCGUGUACGUACAAGCAGUGGGAGCACGCUUCGGCGUGUGACUGCGUACCUUUUGUAUAAUGGGUCAGCGACUUAUAUUCUGUAGCAAGGUUAACCGAAUAGGGGAGCCGAAGGGAAACCGAGUCUUAACUGGGCGUUAAGUUGCAGGGUAUAGACCCGAAACCCGGUGAUCUAGCCAUGGGCAGGUUGAAGGUUGGGUAACACUAACUGGAGGACCGAACCGACUAAUGUUGAAAAAUUAGCGGAUGACUUGUGGCUGGGGGUGAAAGGCCAAUCAAACCGGGAGAUAGCUGGUUCUCCCCGAAAGCUAUUUAGGUAGCGCCUCGUGAAUUCAUCUCCGGGGGUAGAGCACUGUUUCGGCAAGGGGGUCAUCCCGACUUACCAACCCGAUGCAAACUGCGAAUACCGGAGAAUGUUAUCACGGGAGACACACGGCGGGUGCUAACGUCCGUCGUGAAGAGGGAAACAACCCAGACCGCCAGCUAAGGUCCCAAAGUCAUGGUUAAGUGGGAAACGAUGUGGGAAGGCCCAGACAGCCAGGAUGUUGGCUUAGAAGCAGCCAUCAUUUAAAGAAAGCGUAAUAGCUCACUGGUCGAGUCGGCCUGCGCGGAAGAUGUAACGGGGCUAAACCAUGCACCGAAGCUGCGGCAGCGACACUAUGUGUUGUUGGGUAGGGGAGCGUUCUGUAAGCCUGUGAAGGUGUACUGUGAGGUAUGCUGGAGGUAUCAGAAGUGCGAAUGCUGACAUAAGUAACGAUAAAGCGGGUGAAAAGCCCGCUCGCCGGAAGACCAAGGGUUCCUGUCCAACGUUAAUCGGGGCAGGGUGAGUCGACCCCUAAGGCGAGGCCGAAAGGCGUAGUCGAUGGGAAACAGGUUAAUAUUCCUGUACUUGGUGUUACUGCGAAGGGGGGACGGAGAAGGCUAUGUUGGCCGGGCGACGGUUGUCCCGGUUUAAGCGUGUAGGCUGGUUUUCCAGGCAAAUCCGGAAAAUCAAGGCUGAGGCGUGAUGACGAGGCACUACGGUGCUGAAGCAACAAAUGCCCUGCUUCCAGGAAAAGCCUCUAAGCAUCAGGUAACAUCAAAUCGUACCCCAAACCGACACAGGUGGUCAGGUAGAGAAUACCAAGGCGCUUGAGAGAACUCGGGUGAAGGAACUAGGCAAAAUGGUGCCGUAACUUCGGGAGAAGGCACGCUGAUAUGUAGGUGAAGUCCCUCGCGGAUGGAGCUGAAAUCAGUCGAAGAUACCAGCUGGCUGCAACUGUUUAUUAAAAACACAGCACUGUGCAAACACGAAAGUGGACGUAUACGGUGUGACGCCUGCCCGGUGCCGGAAGGUUAAUUGAUGGGGUCAGCGGUAACGCGAAGCUCUUGAUCGAAGCCCCGGUAAACGGCGGCCGUAACUAUAACGGUCCUAAGGUAGCGAAAUUCCUUGUCGGGUAAGUUCCGACCUGCACGAAUGGCGUAAUGAUGGCCAGGCUGUCUCCACCCGAGACUCAGUGAAAUUGAACUCGCUGUGAAGAUGCAGUGUACCCGCGGCAAGACGGAAAGACCCCGUGAACCUUUACUAUAGCUUGACACUGAACAUUGAGCCUUGAUGUGUAGGAUAGGUGGGAGGCUUUGAAGUGUGGACGCCAGUCUGCAUGGAGCCGACCUUGAAAUACCACCCUUUAAUGUUUGAUGUUCUAACGUUGACCCGUUAUCCGGGUUGCGGACAGUGUCUGGUGGGUAGUUUGACUGGGGCGGUCUCCUCCUAAAGAGUAACGGAGGAGCACGAAGGUUGGCUAAUCCUGGUCGGACAUCAGGAGGUUAGUGCAAUGGCAUAAGCCAGCUUGACUGCGAGCGUGACGGCGCGAGCAGGUGCGAAAGCAGGUCAUAGUGAUCCGGUGGUUCUGAAUGGAAGGGCCAUCGCUCAACGGAUAAAAGGUACUCCGGGGAUAACAGGCUGAUACCGCCCAAGAGUUCAUAUCGACGGCGGUGUUUGGCACCUCGAUGUCGGCUCAUCACAUCCUGGGGCUGAAGUAGGUCCCAAGGGUAUGGCUGUUCGCCAUUUAAAGUGGUACGCGAGCUGGGUUUAGAACGUCGUGAGACAGUUCGGUCCCUAUCUGCCGUGGGCGCUGGAGAACUGAGGGGGGCUGCUCCUAGUACGAGAGGACCGGAGUGGACGCAUCACUGGUGUUCGGGUUGUCAUGCCAAUGGCACUGCCCGGUAGCUAAAUGCGGAAGAGAUAAGUGCUGAAAGCAUCUAAGCACGAAACUUGCCCCGAGAUGAGUUCUCCCUGACUCCUUGAGAGUCCUGAAGGAACGUUGAAGACGACGACGUUGAUAGGCCGGGUGUGUAAGCGCAGCGAUGCGUUGAGCUAACCGGUACUAAUGAACCGUGAGGCUUAACCUUACAACGCCGAAGCUGUU